CCUCUAGGCAAACUGGCAAAAUUAGAAGAAAAAUGGCUUAUGGGUUUGCAGUUUGAGAACGAGCCGCCGGAUUUUACCCAACUUAAAAGCUUUCAUCUUUCUUCGUCAGUGUUCCUGAAACUUACCUGACCAUAAAUGUUGCCUGCAGUACUUGUGAAAAACACUGUUUCUCUGUCCUCAGGCUAGGGCAAGGAACCAGAACGGAAUCUCUGGACAGAGAGGUCUACUGAUACAACGAAGUUUGAAAAUCGCUCUUCUAAAUAAAUCCUGACUAACCAAGGAUAUCAAGUUCAUCAUCUAGGGUAAUUCCCACUUCUUUCACAGACUCUACUAGACAAUUAUAAUCCUACAAAGUUUCUAUUCAUUCAAUUCUUCAAGG
rnacentral:lncRNA from 1 species